CUGGAACUUAGAAGAACAAGACCUGGGUGUCAAAGGUUUGGUUUACCGUCCUUACUGUGUCUGCAGGGGGUACCCCUCUAUGAGCAUACACCCCUGUGAUCUAGUCAUACUGAAUUGGAGACUCACUUUUUUUUUAUUACCUCAUUAAAUUAAAAUUACGUUUUCCAAGGUCCUCGCUCCCGAGACAGUCACAUUGGAAUGUGGAGAGAGGCUGUACAAUUCAGUCCAUAGUACGAGUUGGCUGGACGGUUUAUACCACUAAUGAGCCCUUUAAAUAACUGCAGCAUGGAGGUAAUUGGAGUAGCCCACAGAACUUCCAAAAGUUCCCCUUAUUUUACGUGAUUGCUAUAGCAAUAUUUCACCCAACCUCCUCUUCUUGUCAUUGCAUGUUUAUUUCUGCCUAUCUGUCUCCAGGGACCCUGAGACCCAGACUCUGACCUUGGUCAUUGCUUCACAGACACCAUAUCCAGAGAACUUGACUCUAACCUGGACUUCCGUUCAUUGCGGUGAGUUUAGGGAGAUGUCAGCGCAUGCAAACAUCUAAGAAUCAAUCACCAUCAGCUGAAGGAUCUGCUAGAAGAGCUGGGGUAGCCGUGUAGCUCAGUGGAGUGUUUUUCUGGCAUACCCAAGGUCAUGUAUUGAUCCUCACCACUGCAUAAACCAGGUACGGUGAUGCACGCGACGGAUGGUGCUGCCUGUAAUCUCAACAUUUGGGAGGUGGACACUGGAGGAUCAGAAAUUCAAAGUCUUCUUCAACUAAAUGGCUAGUUCUAGGAUAGCCUGGGCUAUAUGAGACCCAGUCUCAAAAAAAAAAAAAACCCAAACAGAACAAAACAAACAAACAAACAAAAAACAGUAACAAGAUAUCUGUAAAAUCAAACUUAAAGAUCAAAAUUAAAGACAGUCUUUGUAAGGAAGUCAGGAGGUAGAUAGAAUCUUAGAUGAGAGGAAUUUGAGUUGUAAACAAAAUUAUUGGCAAGAAUUCCCUAGCUAGAUGUGAGAUCCAGAGAAUAAGCAUGACUAAUUUACACAUGAAAUUGGAACAGUAACCACAUUAACCAUUGCCAUUGUGCUUAAACUUGUUGUAUCCAAAACUCAUGAUGAAAUUUUAUCCCGAUGUGAGUGCUGAGAGACUUACAGUACUAACAACCCAGUGGGGAUUUUAAGACAAGAAUUAGAUUAUGAGGGGUUUGGUCUCACAAAUGGAUUAAUUUGUUAAUAGAUACAGAUAUAUAUAAAACAAAUGAGUUUGCUUGAGAAUG
rnacentral:lncRNA from 1 species